rfam:Phaeosphaeria nodorum SN15 scaffold_59 genomic scaffold, whole genome shotgun sequence.
UACCUAGUUGAUUCUGCUAGUAGUUAUAUGCUUGUCUCAAAGAUUAAGCUAUGUAUGUCUAAGUAUAAGCAAUUAUACUGUAAAACUGCGAAUGGCUUAUUAAAUUAGUUAUCGUUUAUUUAAUAGUACCUUACUACUUAGAUAACUGUAGUAAUUCUAGAGCUAAUAUAUGCUGAAAACCCUAACUUCAGGAGGGGUGUAUUUAUUAGAUAAAAAACUAACGCCCUUUAGGGCUUCUUAGUAAUUUAUAAUAACUUUAUAGAUUGCAUAGCCUUGCGCCGGCGACGGUUUAUUUAAAUUUCUGCCCUAUUAACUUUCGAUGGUAAGGUAUUAGCUUACUAUAGUUUUAAUGAGUAACGGGGAAUUAGAGUUUAAUUCUAGAGAGGGAGCUUAAGAAAUAGCUACUAUAUCUAAGAAAGGCAGCAAGCGCGUAAAUUACCUAAUCUUAACAUAGAGAGGUAGUAACAAUAAAUACUAAUAUAGAGCUCUUUUAAGUCUUGUAAUUAGAAUAAGUAUAAUUUAAACCUCUUAACGAGAAACAAUUAGAGGGCAAGUCUAGUACUAGCAGCUACAGUAAUUCUAGCUCUAAUAGCGUAUAUUAAAGUUAUUAUAGUUAAAAAGCUCGUAGUUAAAUCUUAAGUCUAGCUAGUAGGUCUGCCUUACUGCGUAUACUUGUCUAGCUAGGCCUUUCUUCUAGAGAAUCUUAUGCCCUUUACUAGGCGUGUUAGAGACUAGGACUUUUACUUUAAAAAAAUUAGAGUGUUUAAAGCAGGCCUUUGCUUAAAUACGUUAGUAUAGAAUAAUAGAAUAGAAUGUGCAGUUCUAUUUUAUUAGUUUCUAAGACUGCUGUAAUAAUUAAUAGAGACAGUUAGAGGCAUUAGUAUUUAAUUAUUAGAGGUAAAAUUCUUGAAUUUAUUAAAGACUAACUACUGCGAAAGCAUUUGCUAAGGAUGUUUUCAUUAAUUAGUAAACGAAAGUUAGGGGAUCGAAGAUGAUUAGAUACUGUCGUAGUCUUAACCGUAAACUAUGCUGACUAGAGAUUAGGCGAUGUUCUUUUUCUGACUCGCUCGGCACCUUACGAGAAAUCAAAGUUUUUGGGUUCUGGGGGGAGUAUGGUCGCAAGGCUGAAACUUAAAGAAAUUGACGGAAGGGCACCACCCAGGCGUGGAGCCUGCGGGCUUAAUUUGACUCAACACGGGGAAACUCACCAGGUCCAGAUGAAAUAAGGAUUGACAGGAUUGAGAGCUCUUUCCUUGAUUUUUCAGGUGGUGGUGCAUGGCCGUUCUUAGUUGGUGGAGUGAUUUGUCUGCUUAAUUGCGAUAACCGAACGAGACCUUAACCUGCUAAAUAGGCCAGGCUAGCUUUGGCUGGUCGCCGGCUUCUUAGAGGGACUAUCGGCUCAAGCCGAUGGAAGUUUGAGGCAAUAACAGGUCUGUGAUGCCCUUAGAUGUUCUGGGCCGCACGCGCGCUACACUGACAGAGCCAACGAGUUCUUCACCUUGGCCGAAAGGUCUGGGUAAUCUUGUUAAACUCUGUCGUGCUGGGGAUAGAGCAUUGCAAUUAUUGCUCUUCAACGAGGAAUGCCUAGUAAGCGCGUGUCAUCAGCAUGCGUUGAUUACGUCCCUGCCCUUUGUACACACCGCCCGUUCGCUACUACCGAUUGAAUGGCUCAGUGAAGGCCUUCGGACUGGGCUUAGGGAGGUUGGCAACGACCACCUUGAGCCGGAAAAGUUCGUCAAAACUCGAGUCAUUUAGAGGAAGUAAAAGUUCGUAACAAGGUUUCCGUAGGUGAACCUGCGGAAGGAUCAUUA